rnacentral:rRNA from 1 species
AUACGUAGGGAGCGAGCGUUGUCCGGAAUUACUGGGUGUAAAGGGAGCGUAGGCGGGAGUGCAAGUCAGAUGUGAAAUACAUGGGCUCAACCCAUGGGCUGCAUUUGAAACUGCACUUCUUGAGUGAAGUAGAGGUAAGCGGAAUUCCUGGUGUAGCGGUGAAAUGCGUAGAUAUCAGGAGGAACACCGGUGGCGAAGGCGGCUUACUGGGCUUUUACUGACGCUGAGGCUCGAAAGCGUGGGGAGCAAACAGGAUUAGAUACCCUGGUAGUCCACGCUGUAAACGAUGAUUACUAGGUGUGGGGGGACUGACCCCUUCCGUGCCGCAGUUAACACAAUAAGUAAUCCACCUGGGGAGUACGGCCGCAAGGUUGAAACUCAAAUGAAUUGGCGGGG